UGUAUGUGAUGAUAAGUUCAAUCUGAACAGAGUAUUGUUGAUUUUCAACUUAAAAUUAAACCAAACGGAUUCUGAAAAAUA
rnacentral:snoRNA from 1 species